AAGCUAAGAGUGUGGGUUCAAGUCCUGCACCUCCUG
rnacentral:tRNA from 1 species